rnacentral:rRNA from 1 species
AUCCUGGCUCAGAUUGAACGCUGGCGGCAUGCCUUACACAUGCAAGUCGAACGGCAGCACGGGAGCAAUCCUGGUGGCGAGUGGCGAACGGGUGAGUAAUGUAUCGGAACGUACCUUUCAGUGGGGAUAACGUAGCGAAAGUUACGCUAAUACCGCAUAUUCUGUGUGCAGGAAAGCAGGGGAUCGCAAGACCUUGCGCUGAUUGAGCGGCCGAUAUCAGAUUAGCUAGUUGGUGAGGUAAAGGCUCACCAAGGCGACGAUCUGUAGCGGGUCUGAGAGGAUGAUCCGCCACACUGGAACUGAGACACGGUCCAGACUCCUACGGGAGGCAGCAGUGGGGAAUUUUGGACAAUGGGGCAACCCUGAUCCAGCCAUGCCGCGUGAGUGAAGAAGGCCUUCGGGUUGUAAAGCUCUUUCGGCCGGGAAGAAAUCGCAUGGGUUAAUACCCUGUGCGGAUGACGGUACCGGCAUAAGAAGCACCGGCUAACUACGUG